rnacentral:rRNA from 1 species
GAUGAACGCUGGCGGCGUGCCUAAUACAUGCAAGUCGAGCGAACAGACGAGGAGCUUGCUCCUCUGACGUUAGCGGCGGACGGGUGAGUAACACGUGGAUAACCUACCUAUAAGACUGGGAUAACUUCGGGAAACCGGAGCUAAUACCGGAUAAUAUAUUGAACCGCAUGGUUCAAUAGUGAAAGACGGUUUUGCUGUCACUUAUAGAUGGAUCCGCGCCGCAUUAGCUAGUUGGUAAGGUAACGGCUUACCAAGGCAACGAUGCGUAGCCGACCUGAGAGGGUGAUCGGCCACACUGGAACUGAGACACGGUCCAGACUCCUACGGGAGGCAGCAGUAGGGAAUCUUCCGCAAUGGGCGAAAGCCUGACGGAGCAACGCCGCGUGAGUGAUGAAGGUCUUCGGAUCGUAAAACUCUGUUAUUAGGGAAGAACAAAUGUCUAAGUAACUAUGCACGUCUUGACGGUACCUAAUCAGAAAGCCACGGCUAACUACGUG